CUAUCUUAGUGGCGGACGGGUGAGUAACGCGUGGGUAACCUGCCUUGCACUGGGGGAUAACACUUAGAAAUAGGUGCUAAUACCGCAUAACAGGAGAAGACGCAUGUCUUUUCCUUAAAAACUCCGGUGGUGUAAGAUGGACCCGCGUCUGAUUAGCUUGUUGGCGGGGUAACGGCCCACCAAGGCAACGAUCAGUAGCCGGCCUGAGAGGGUGAACGGCCACAUUGGGACUGAGACACGGCCCAAACUCCUACGGAAGGCAGCAG
rnacentral:rRNA from 1 species